UACGUAGGCAGCAAGCGUUGUUCGGAAUUACUGGGCGUAAAGAGUGUGUAGGCGGUGCUCCAAGUCUGGUGUGAAAUCUCCCGGCUCAACUGGGAGGGUGCGGUGGAGACUGCCGGACUGGAGGCACUCAGAGGCCGGUGGAAUUCCCGGUGUAGUGGUGAAAUGCGUAGAGAUCGGGAGGAACACCAGUGGCGAAGGCGGCCGGCUGGGGGUGACCUGACGCUGAGGCGCGAAAGCGUGGGGAGCGAACGGG
rnacentral:rRNA from 1 species